GGGUUGUGAGGUUAAGCGACUAAGCGUACACGGUGGAUGCCCUGGCAGUCAGAGGCGAUGAAGGGCGUGCUAAUCUGCGAUAAGCGCCGGUAAGGUGAUAUGAACCGUUAUAACCGGCGAUACCCGAAUGGGGAAACCCAGUGUGACUCGUCACACUAUCAUUAACUGAAUCCAUAGGUUAAUGAGGCGAACCGGGGGAACUGAAACAUCUAAGUACCCCGAGGAAAAGAAAUCAACCGAGAUUCCCCCAGUAGCGGCGAGCGAACGGGGAGGAGCCCAGAGCCUGAAUCAGCAUGUGUGUUAGUGGAAGCGUCUGGAAAGGCGCGCGAUACAGGGUGACAGCCCCGUACACAAAAGCGCAUGUGCUGUGAGCUCGAUGAGUAGGGCGGGACACGUGGUAUCCUGUCUGAAUAUGGGGGGACCAUCCUCCAAGGCUAAAUACUCCUGACUGACCGAUAGUGAACCAGUACCGUGAGGGAAAGGCGAAAAGAACCCCGGCGAGGGGAGUGAAAAAGAACCUGAAACCGUGUACGUACAAGCAGUGGGAGCACCCUUUGGGUGUGACUGCGUACCUUUUGUAUAAUGGGUCAGCGACUUAUAUUCUGUAGCAAGGUUAACCGAAUAGGGGAGCCGGAGGGAAACCGAGUCUUAA
rnacentral:rRNA from 2 species